rnacentral:lncRNA from 1 species
GAGAGAGAGAGAGAGAGCGCUAGAUGUUAGUUCAAGGCAGGAAUAGAAAGGUUAGGAGGAGAGGCAUUGACUGACUGGGAGAGACAAUAAACAUGUCUGGGUGCUUAAAUGUGCUGUUUUUUGCAUAUCCCAACUCUGCCAUUAUCAAUGGUGACCCUGGACCAAUUAGGGUUAAAGGCCUUGCUCGAGGGCACAUUGACAGAUUUUUCACUUUGUCGGCUCGUGGAUUCGAACAAGUGACCUUUCGGUUACUAACACAACGCUCUAACCGCUAGGCGACCUGCGUGUUCGUGUGUGUGUGUGUGUUUGUUUGCACACUUUGCUUGUGUGUGUAUGGGUGUGUGUGCGUUUGUGAUUGUGUCUUUGCAUGUGUACGCACACAAGGAGUGGGAGGUAAAGAGCAAAGAAAUGGAAUCCCUCCUACAGAACAGAUAAAAAGGAAGGGAUGACUGUGGAGUGAAAGAAAAGCCAUCUGGAGUGAAAGAGGAGGAGGAUGGAACAAGGAGGUUGAGAGGACAAGGUGCUUUGAUUACGAUUCAGAAUGUUAAAUUGCACCUAUUUACCUAACUGCUGAUCGGAUCGAUAGAGAACACUGAGUAGAGGAGAAAAAGAGAGAGGGGAAAAUGGACAGAAUGAAAAGUGGCUUGGAGAAGGGUUGAGAAGUGGCGGAGAGGAGAGGAGGGUUGAGGGGUGGCAGAGAGGAGAGGAGAGGAGGGUUGAGGGGUGGCGGAGAGGAGAGGAGAAGAGGGUUGAGGGGUGGCGGAGAGGAGAGGAGAGGAGGGUUGAGGGGUGGCGGAGAGGAGAGGAGGGUUGAGGGGUGAUGGAGAGGAGAGGAGAGUUGUGGGGUGGCGGAGAGGAGAGGAGGAGGAGGGGGUGGCGGAGAGGAGAGUUAAGGGGGGUGGAGAGAAAUAUGGCUGCUAAGCGAAAGACAGAGCAGUGGAGAAACGAGGUAAAGAAGGAGGGCGGAGAGAGGGAGGAGUGCGAGUUGAGAUGAUGGAUGCUCUGCUCUCAUUCUGUGCCCCCUAACGAAGACUCUAAUUAGUGUUUGUGUAAUUCCACACUGUCUCCUCCGCCUGCUCGUCUUAAUUAACUCCAUUCAUCUUCCCCUCCCUCCAUCCCUCUUUCCCUCCAUCCCUCUCUCCAUCCCUCCCUCCUGCCCUCCUAAAAUAACACACUGACUGACUAAACCCCACCUGGACCAGACCUGCUUCAACAUACUGGACUCUCCCUCUCCCCCCCUCUCCUUCUCCCCUCUCUUCACACACCCUUCCCCCCUACUUCUCUCUCUCCCUCCUUGCCUCCUCUCUCUCAUGAUAGACAGGUCAUGAAUGUGUGACUCAGUCAGAAUGGACCAUAUUGUUUUUCAUAUUGCUAGAGAGACUUCUCAGACAGUUAAUGAAGUAAUGAAUGAUUAAAUAAAUAUCAGUCCGGCUAUAUAAAACCAUUAUAUUGUAUUUCAUAACUAUAUGCAAGGCAUUUAUGAAAGCACACCACACACACACACACACACACAAAAAAAAAUUCAAUCCCAAUACUACAGACAUAGGCAGGAGGCAGACAGUCAGUGUCUAGAGUUCUUUAAUAUCUUUAUUUUCUCUUUUAUUAAUAUUUAUAGUGUGUUACAGGAUAAAAGCAACACAGAACAAAACACAAGGACAGGCCGGGGCAAACUCACACCACAUACCAGCUAGAGUCCAUAGUUGUUUAGCAUGGAGCGUUCGUCGCUUCGGUGUUGGCAUCAUGAGGUUCUGAUGCGGUAGUCCUGGCCUCAGCAGUCUUGUCGUAGCAGGCCACAUCUGGAAAGGGUGGAGAAAGCUUCAUCAGUAACAUCAUCAUACUGGAGACCAUUGGUACUCACUCACACGUCGUUCAGCUCUUCAACCCGACCAGGAGUUGUUAGUGGAUGGCUAGUCCGGUAAUGGAUGGCUGGUCCGGUAAUGGAUGGCUGGUCCGGUAAUGGAUGGCUGGUCCGGUAAUGGAUUGCUGGUCCGGUAGUGGAUGGCUGGUCCGGUAGUGGAUGGCUGGUCCGGUAAUGGAUGGCUGGUCUUGUAGUGGAUUGCUGGUCCGGUAGUGGAUGGCUGGUCUUGUAGUGGAUGGCUGGUCCGGUAGUGGAUGGCUGGUCCGGUAGUGGAUGGCUGGUCCGGUAGUGGAUGGCUGGUCUUGUAGUGGAUGGCUGGUCCGGUAGUGGAUGGCUGGUCCGGUAGUGGAUGGCUGGUCCGGUAGUGGAUGGCUGGUCCGGUAAUGGAUGGCUGGUCCGGUAGUGGAUGGCUGGUCCGGUAAUGGAUGGCUGGUCUUGUAGUGGAUUGCUGGUCCGGUAGUGGAUGGCUGGUCCGGUAGUGGAUGGCUGGUCCGGUAAUGGAUGGCUGGUCCGGUAGUGGAUGGCUGGUCCGGUAGUGGAUGGCUGGUCCGGUAAUGGAUGGCUGGUCCAGUAGUGGAUGGCUAGUCUGAUAAUGGAUGGCUGGUCCGGUAAUGGAUGGCUGGUCCGGUAGUGGAUGGCUGGUCCGGUAAUGGAUGGCUGGUCCAGUAAUGGAUGGCUGGUCCGGUAGUGGAUGGCUGGUCUGGUAAUGGAUGGCUGGUCCGGUAGUGGAUUGCUGGUCCGGUAGUGGAUGGCUGGUCUGGUAGUGGAUGGCUGGUCCGGUAGUGGAUGGCUGGUCCGGUAAUGGAUGGCUGGUCCGGUAGUGGAUGGCUGGUCCAGUAGUGGAUGGCUGAUCCGGUAGUGAAUGGCUGGUUCUGUAGUGGAUGGCUGGUCCGGUAGUGGAUGGCUCAUCAAUAGCAGGUUCGGUGGUCGGUGGCUGCUUUCCCCGGCUGUCUCUCGCUCUACGCCGGGCCUGCUGGGUUAUCUCUCGC